rnacentral:rRNA from 1 species
UACGUAGGGUGCAGGCGUUAAUCGGAAUUACUAGGCGUAAAGCGUGCGCAGGCGGUUUGCUAAGACAGGUGUGAAAUCCCCGGGCUUAACCUGGGAACUGCGCUUGUAACUGGCAAGCUAGAGUGUGGCAGAGGGGGGUGGAAUUCCAGGUGUAGCAGUGAAAUGCGUAGAGAUCUGGAGGAACACCGAUGGCGAAGGCAGCCCCCUGGGCUAACACUGACGCUCAUGCACGAAAGCGUGGGGAGCAAACAGG